AUCGAUUGCCCACCUGUUCAUUUCCUCUCCUCGUCCCCUUUCGUCUCCUUCAUUUCGUCUCCGUCAUUUCUUCUGCUCAUCCCCUCUCUCUAGGGUUCCUCUCUCAUCCGCCAAAGGGGCAUUUGCUCCAAUCCACCACCAUCUGCGGGCGAAUUUGGGCUCUCGCGAGAGCAUCUCCGAGUGGGAUCAAACCGCAAAUCUAUCCAGGGAAGUGCAGAUCAGUGUAGGUGAGUACAUGACCCGCGCACCACCCUCUCGAGUCCACGUCUCUCGUCCACAGGAGUGUUUGAUUUCUCGAGGCUUUCUCACGCUGAGGUGAUCCUAUCCUUUUCGGUUGUUUUCCCCCAUUUUGCUGCAUCUGAUUAUCCCCAUCACGCAUGCAGCGAUUUGAUUUUGGGGUUGUUUUUUGGUGAUGGUUAUCAUCGAGGUCAUUUGAAAUCGAGGGGGACGGGCGGGAAUUUUGCAGAUCGGUGUAGCUCAUCGGCAAGCACAUCUACAGGGGUCCGUGAUCGACUGGAACUGCAAAUCACCCUGAGGGUUUGGCGGUAUCUCAAGUCUGAAACAGUUUUGUGGAGUUGAAGUCCUGCUCUCAAGGGGAAGGCUCACACCGGAUCAGGGGAAAAUUUUCACUUGUUUUUGUCUCUAUGAAACACACACUAAUUAUAAUCCCAAGAGCACAGAAGCAGUGACAUGCCCGUGCAGCAUCAUCCAAUGCAAACAUUAGAUACAGGGCAUUCCCUGCUAGACUUGUGAAGUUAUAUGAAUACAUAUCUAAAGAUCAGCAGGCUAUGAUUUUUGAUGCAAAGGGUAGUGGAAAUUGGAGAGCCCUAAAGAGGGGUGCACAAUAAGUUGCCUUCUGUAAGUAGCACCAAAGCACAUACGCUGGGAUCAGUUGGAGGUACUGUUUUGGCCGGAAUUCUAGGUUGCCUAUGCUAAAUCGACAAGGACUCAAGGAGAUUGUGCAUUAUUAGUCUAGCAUUGUUUUGUCUGAAAAUUUCAUCACUAAAGAUAUGUAGUAAAUAUUUGUGAAAAACAUUAUCUCUGCAUGAAGUACAGCUGAACCUAAUCAUAACACUUCUGUUAGUGUGUUUUUGAUCUUGGUGGUGCGGGUAACAAGUCCACCGUUUUUCUAUAUCUUUGUCCAAAAUAAUAUAGUUCAAUAGGCAAUAACAUGGUUCUGAUUAUGCAAUUUUUAUAGUUAUGACUAGGUAAAACAAUGUACUUUGUUAUGCAAAAAUACGGUUCCCACCUAGGCAAUAUGGGAGGGAAUAAGGACAUAUUAUGAUUUUAGAUUAUACAAAUCAAUAUAAUUCAUUAGGCAGUAAACUACUUGGAAUGGACAUCUAAAAUGCUUAAUUGGAAUAAAACUCAGGCUUAUAAAACAACCAGAUAUAAAUUGACUUGCAUUACAGAUACAGAUUGUACAUAGCACUACUGGCUUGUAAAACUCACUGGUUUGCUGCUUUCUUAUGCCACCUUUGACACUCAGGCUGCUAAUUUGAUCCAUGUUUUUGUUUCCUGGAUGUGUAGUUUUGAUUGGUUCACAAGGACGUUUAUAGAUAAACUCUUCAAAGUGUAUGACAUGGAAAUACACAACCAAAUAUUCUACACGACAAUGUGCUCAUGUCUUCUUAGUUUAACUGAUCUGAUACUCCAUAAUCAUCUGAUUCCAGCUGUGGACUUUAUGUUUUGUCAUCAGAUUGCUUCUCUGACGUCGUAAUCCUAUCCAGUGUUGCCUGGCUAGUCAGUUCUUCAUAUCCUACACCAUUCGAACAUUUGAGACUCUCACAUUUGCUAUCAUAAUGACAACUAGACAGCUGGUGAGCAUAUUGCUGUCCUGCGGCUGGUUUGUACAUCCUCUCAGCUGGAUGUAGUGGCUUGGUGCAGCAAUUGUAUUCGGAGCACUGUACACAAAGAAUUUCUUAAGAAGUAAACCACAGAAGGCAGCGGCUGCAAGCCCGCCAGGCAGUUCUAGCCUGAAUCUUCCUCACAAUAGUUGACAAAAUAGUAUAGGAAAAAAUCGACUUGUUGUACCGGAACGAAGUCUGUGUUCGAGAUCAACAGUGUCAUGACAAGUUAACUGGGCAGAUAGAUUCCAGAUCUAGCUCUGUUACUACCUAACCUGGAGGAGAUGAAUUGGUGGCCCUAGUGUUAGUCCCGGUUGUAAAUGCUUUUGUCCAUGUUCUAAUGUGAUUGUAUUGCCAAAUUGCCCCAAAUGGCUGAAUUUAUAUAAACUUUGGUUAUGAGGUUCUUCAAAUUUGCUUUA